GGAUGUGAGGGCGAUCUGGCUGCGACAUCUGUCACCCCAUUGAUCGCCAGGGUUGAUUCGGCUGAUCUGGCUGGCUAGGCGGGUGUCCCCUUCCUCCCUCACCGCUCCAUGUGCGUCCCUCCCGAAGCUGCGCGCUCGGUCGAAGAGGACGACCAUCCCCGAUAGAGGAGGACCGUUCUUCGGUCAAGGGUAUACGAGUAGCUGCGCUCCCCUGCUAGAACCUCCAAACAAGCUCUCAAGAUGGUGUCCACAGAUGUCUCUGCUAUUAAAAAAAAAAAAGUAGCCUUCCCCCUUU
rnacentral:snRNA from 1 species